AAAGGAGCCGCGUCCCCGAUGUGAGGGAGCGUCUGUAAACUCCCCUUCGGGGUGCCCGCGUCCACCCGAGGACACGCCGGCAAGCAGCGAGGGAAAAAGGAGGCCGAGAUCUCCAAAGGCUCCCCGGAUGCCUGGCGGUCACCUCUCCAGCCACAGGUCCCGGAGGUUUCCUUAGGGUCAGGGCCUGGGGCCGGGGGCCAAAGACCACCGAGGCCUAAGGAUCCUCUGAAGCGUCGCAGGACGGUGACGCUCCCGCGAGUUCAGCGCCCUGUGAAACCCCUUGCAAUUGGCCAGUUCGGGGCGGUAGGCGGGGAGACCUUCUGAUCCGCCCAAUGAGCGGACCCCGUACAAAAGGCCGAAUGCGAGCAUGACCGACGGGAGGAGAAGUGUGGAUGCUCCCUAAUCUGGGGGCUGGCCCUGGGCGGGGGCGCGGACGGGUCGUGGGACUGCGAGCGGCGGGGGCGGGGGCGGGGGCGGGGCGAGCCUGUGGGGGAGGGGCGCUUCCGGACCCCCCCCUCCCGCCCACGCAACACCCGGGACCGGGUCCGGAGGCCCCCAGACCCGCGAGCGCGCGGGACACUCCGUUUGCCAACGCGCGGCCGUGCCGGCCCCCGGGCUCUCCCGGCCCCCCCCUCCCCGCCCGCAUUUCGCCGACGGCGGGGCCGCAGCCAAGGUCACGGUGUCCGAGUGCUUGGGGACCGCGCGGAGUGACCACAUUCGUUCAUUCCCUCCCUCACUCAUUCAUUCAUUCCCUCCCCUACUCCCUCAUUCCCUCCCUCACUCACUCAUUCCCUCCCUCACUCAUUCAUUCAAUCCUUCCAUCACUCAAUCAUUCCUUCCCUCUCCCUCACUCAUUCCCUCCCUCACUUACUCAUUUCCCACCCUCACUCACUUCAUUCCCUCCCUCACUCAUUUCCUCCCUCCACUCAUAUCAUUUCAUUCCCUCCCUCCCUCACUCAUUCUCUCACUCACUCAUUCCCGCCCUCAUUCAUUCAUUCCCACCCUCAUUCAUUCCUUCACUCCCUCACUCAUUCCCUCCCUCCCUCGUUAGUUCCCUCCCUCACUCACUCAUUCCCUCCCUCACUGAUCAUUCAUUCCCUCCAUCACUCAUUCAUUCCUUCCCUCACUCAUUCCCUCCCUCACUCAUUUCCUCCCUCAUUCAUUCAUUCCCUCCCUCACUUAUUCGUUCAUUCCCUCCCUCCCUCACUCAUUCCCACUCUCACAAACUCAUUCCCCCCCUCACUUACUCAUUCCCUCCCUCCCCGCACUCAUUCCCUCCCUCACUCAUUCAUUCCCACCCUCCCUCACUUAUUCCCUGCCUCUCUCAUUCCCUCCCUCACUCAUUCAUUCCCUCCCUCACUCAUUCCCUCCCUUAUUCAUUCCAUCCCUUAUUCAUUCCAUCCCUCAUCCAUUCCCUACUUCCCUCAUUCCCUCCCUCCCUCAUUCAUUCCCUUCCUCAUUCAUUCACUCCCUCCCUCACUCAUUCAUUCAUUCCCCCCUCCCUCACUCAUUCCCUCCCUUAUUCAUUCCAUCCCUCAUUCAUUCCCUCCCUCACUAAUUCCCUCCCUCACUCAUUCAUUCCCUCCCUCCCUCAUUCAUUCAUUCCUUCCCUCACUCAUUCCCUCCCUCACUCAUGCAUUAAUUCCCUCCCUCCCUCACUCAUUCCCUCCCUCACUCAUGCAUUAAUUCCCUCCCUCACUCACGCAUUCCCUCCCUCACUCAUUCACUCCCUGCCUGCCUCACUCAUUCUCCCACCACCUCCCACAGGGUCCCCAGCAGGCACUUCCCUGGCAGGCACCCACAGCAGGAGGGGCGGCCACACACCCUGGGUCGGCCUGCCUGGGAGGCGCAGCCGCGGGGAUGGGGGUCCAGGGCACCAGGGGCGGCCUCCCCCAGACUCCAGUCCCUAGGAGCCGCACACAGCCCUGUCCCACCAAGACCAGCGUGGGCCUGUCCUGGCUGCAACUUGGGCUCAGAGCCUCCGUGGCCUGUCUAGACACCUGCUCUCCCAGCCCCCAGCCUUGAGGUCCUGGGGAUCUGCUUUUUUUUUUUUUUCCUUUUUUUUGUCAGAUGGAGUCUCACUGUGUCUCCCAGGCUAGAGUGCAGUGGCGCCAUCUUGGCUCACUGCAACCUCCACCUCCUGGGUUCAAGCGAUCCUCCCGUCUCAGCCUCCCGAGUAGCUGGGAUUACAGGCGUGUACCACCACACCUGGCUAAUUUUUAUAUUUUUAUUAGAGAUGGGGUUUCACCAUGUUGGCCAGGCUGGUCUCAAACUCCUGACCUCAAGUGAUCCGCCCACCUCGGCCUCCCAAAGUGCUGGGAUUACAGGUAUGAGCCACCACGCCCAGCUGAAAUCUGCAUUCUUAACCAGCCCCCUGGGCAAGCCUGGCAGAGGGAUAUGGCCCUUUGGCUUCCUGGCAUGGGCUAAGGUUCCAAGGCCAUCUUUCUGGCAAAGAUGUCAGCACAGGGCUGUGUGGGGAGGCGUCAGCCAGUAAAGGCCGUGGCCAAAGAAAAGCAAGGAGAGCCACGGGCCUGGGCGGAUCCCGCUGCAGCCUCAGGCACAGAGAGGGCAGGGCUGGCAAGGUGGGGGGCUUGUCAUGAGUGGGGCUUGGGGAGACCGACUGGAUGUGGUGUGUGGCUGGGGAGGGCCUGGGCCUGAACCUGUGGGCCAUGGGAGCCAUAGAAGGUUGUGGAACAGGAGAAACAAGACAAGGCCCUGGUUCCCUGUGUGUGUGUGGUGAGGGAUUGAGGAGAUAUGGCUCAGGCACUCAGAGAAUUCCUGUCCUGGUGGGAAGUAGUGCCGGGAGGGUCUGGGGUUUGGGGAGGCUGUGGCAGGUGGGGUGAGGAGCAUGGAGCAGGUGGGGGUGAGGGGCAUGGAGCAGGUGGGGGAGGGAAGAGGCUCCCUCAGUUGCGCAUCCUCAGCCCAGAAGUGUCCUUUGAGCAGCCUGCACCUGGCACACAUGUUUUCAAGGAGAGGGGACUUGUUGGGUCCAGCUCCCUGGGUACUAAGGAGAAACUGAGGCUUGGAGAGGGUGGGGGGUUUGAAUCAGUAACUAUAAGAUCCUGGGCAAGGCUUGUGGCUGACUGUGCCAGGCACGCGCCCACCUUUGCCCUGGUCCCCUUGGGAGGGGAGCAGGAAGUGUGAUGCGGAGCUGCCUGCAGUAGGGCAGGACCUCCAGUGCCCUGGGUGCCCCCUCUGGGGUCUGCUGGGGCCAGGCUCCACACAGGGGUUUGAGAGCACAGGCCACUUCACUGAGGGCCGAUUCCGCCAGAGGAAGAAGGGCCUCUGCAGUAGAGUGAAGGUGGACCCUUACCCUGGAGCACGCACAAAAACCAGCUCAAAAGUCAGCCUUGGGCCAGGCGCGGUGGCUCACGCCUGUAAUCCCAGGACUUUGGGAGGCUGAGUAGGGCGGAUCGCUUGAGCUCAGGAGUUUGAGACCAGCCUGGCCAACAUGGUGAAGCCCUGUCUCUACUAAAAAUGCAAAAAUUAGUUGGGCGUGGUGGUGCACGUCUGUAAUUCCAGCUACUUGGAAGGCUGAGGCAGGAGAAUCUCCUGAACACGGGAGGCAGAGGUUGCAGUGAGCCGAGAUGGCGUCACUGCACUCCAGCUUGGGUGGCAGAGCAAGACUCCGUUUAAAAAUAAAAAGAAAAAAAAAUU
rnacentral:antisense_RNA from 1 species